CCAUUGCGGUAUAGGUGGAAGCAGCGGUGGAGGAGGAGGAUGAGGUAGCCAACACUGUUUUUUUAGAUAUAAUUAUAUUUUUUAAUUGGGGUAGCCCCCAAAAUAUUGGGACAUAUAAAAAAGACAACUCUGUUCCACAGAGUAGCUGUUGACAUUAUAGUUGUGCAGGCACUUUGUUGACUCUAGAAAACCUCGGGCAAAUCGCACAUCCCCAUGACGGCAACUUUGCAUUCGGAUGUCAUCCGUAUCAACUUUCGAUGCCAGUUUCUGCGCCUACCAUGGUGACCACGGGUAACGGGGAAUCGGGGUUCCAUUCCGUACAGGGACCCUGAGAAACAGCUACCACAUGCAAGGAAGGCAGCAGG